AACGAACGCUGGCGGCAUGCCUAACACAUGCAAGUCGAACGAGACCUUCGGGUCUAGUGGCGCACGGGUGCGUAACGCGUGGGAACCUGCCCUUAGGCUCGAAAUAACUCCCCGAAAGGGGUGCUAAUACCGGAUAAUGUCUUCGGACCAAAGAUUUAUCGCCUUUGGAUGGGCCCGCGUUGGAUUAGCUAGUUGGUAGGGUAAAAGCCUACCAAGGCGACGAUCCAUAGCUGGUCUGAGAGGAUGAUCAGCCACACUGGGACUGAGACACGGCCCAGACUCCUACGGGAGGCAGCAGUGGGGAAUAUUGGACAAUGGGCGAAAGCCUGAUCCAGCAAUGCCGCGUGAGUGAUGAAGGCCUUAGGGUUGUAAAGCUCUUUUACCCGGGAUGAUAAUGACAGUACCGGGAAAAUAAGCUCCGGCUAACUCCGUG
rnacentral:rRNA from 1 species